rnacentral:misc_RNA from 1 species
UGUGGGAGCGGGCUUGCUCGCGAAAGCGGUGGGUCAGCUUCAUUGAUGUUGACUGACACUCCGCCUUCGCGAGCAAGCCCGCUCCCACA